CGCGGCCUAUCAGCUUGUUGGUGAGGUAACGGCUCACCAAGGCUUUGACGGGUAGCUGGUCUGAGAGGACGAUCAGCCACACUGGGACUGAGACACGGCCCAGACUCCUACGGGAGGCAGCAGCAGGGAAUAUUGCGCAAUGGGCGAAAGCCUGACGCAGCAACGCCGCGUGGGGGAUGAAGGCCUUCGGGUUGUAAACCCCUUUCGGGAGGGAAGAAAUUGACGGUACCUCCUAAAGAAGCCCCGGCCAACUACGUGCCAGCAGCCGCGGUAAUACGUAGGGGGCAAGCGUUGUCCGGAUUUAUUGGGCGUAAAGAGCUCGUAGGCGGCUCAGCAAGUCGGUCGUGAAAGCCCGGGGCUCAACCCCGGGACGCCGAUCGAAACUGCUGUGGCUAGGGUCCGGUAGAGGAGAGUGGAAUUCCCGGUGUAGCGGUGAAAUGCGCAGAUAUCGGGAGGAACACCAGUAGCGAAGGCGGCUCUCUGGGCCGGUACCGACGCUGAGGAGCGAAAGCUAGGGGAGCAAACAGGAUUAGAUACCCUGGUAGUCCUAGCCGUAAACGUUGGGCACUAGGUGUGGCGGACUCAUUGACGUCUGCCGUGCCGAAGCAAACGCAUUAAGUGCCCCGCCUGGGGAGUACGG
rnacentral:rRNA from 1 species